AAGUAACCUAUCCUUUUAUUGGGGAUAACAGAUCGAAAGGUCUGCUAAUACCGAAUAAUCUCUGGUGACGCGAGUUAUUGGAGGAAAGGCAACCUCUUGUUCAAAGUUGCUGUAGGGGGAGGGGCUUGCGUACCAUUAGCUAGUUGGUGGGGUAAAGGCUCACCAAGGCGACGAUGGUUAGCGGGUCUGAGAGGAUGAUCCGCCACACUGGAACUGGAACACGGACCAGACUCCUACGGGAGGCAGCAGUGAGGAAUAUUGCGCAAUGGGGGCAACCCUGACGCAGCGACGCCGCGUGAGUGAAGAAGGCCUUCGGGUUGUAAAGCUCUGUCGGGAGGGAAGAAUGGUUAGGCGGUUAAUAGUCGUUUAGCUUGACGGUACCUUCAAAGGAAGCACCGGCUAACUCCGUGCCAGCAGCCGCGGUAAUACGGAGGGUGCGAGCGUUAAUCGGAAUUACUGGGCGUAAAGGGCGCGUAGGCGGUUUUAUAAGUCA
rnacentral:rRNA from 1 species